UUUUUUUGAGAUGGAGUCUGGCUCUGCCACCCAGACUGGAGAGUAGUGGCAUGAUAAAUCAGUGAUUUUAAAAUGUCAAUGACAGAGUUUUUACAUAAAAAAUAGAACUAUACAGCAUUGAAGGAAAGUUUUUUUGUUAUCUGGUACUUUCAACAAUAAUAUUCUGUAAGUUUAUAAUCACAAUUGAUAACUAUCAAUUGUGACUGAUUAAUUUACAAGUGAUUGUAUGCCAAAGAGUAUAUUUUAAUUUUUUAAUAAAUAGUGUAUCUUGUGUUUUAACUCCCAGAAUCACAAAACUUUGGAAAAUUCCUAUGUCUUGGAUUGAAAACCUUUGUGUACUUAAUGUUCUUAUAAUUUCAGAUUUUUCAGAAUAAAGGUAUAGUUUAAACUUUAAAACAAAGAUUUCCAGCAAUGAGUGAAUUAAAAUAUAAAUGACUUAACGUGUGAUCUGCUAUUGUGACUAUAAGCUAAUUUUAAAUGGAAGUUCAUUUUUUUGACCUUUUCUAUUCUUCAUAAUUUAAGAUGCCACUGAAGAAUCUCUACUAGAAACCAAUGACAGAGUAGGUCUCUGAAACCUACUCUAUUCUUUGAAAUAAGCUCAUGCUCUCUUUUGGUCAUUUCACUACAAGGGUUCAACCUCUUUGUGCAAUAGCAUAUGUGUGUUUCUAUAUUGUCAUCAUAUCCAUAUUUUUAUACUUUAUACAUCAUAUCCAUACUUUCAUAAUCCCUUUCAGUUUUAAGGUAUUUAGAUAAUUUUCAUCACUUUUCUGCAUAGUUUUUAUUUUGUGUAACUUUGAGGAACCUGAGAUUGAUGUCUUUAAAUGACCUGCAACAGGCUAGUUUUGUAACUGAUUGGCGAAUGCAAGUCUGAUGUACCAGGUGAAUAGGCUAUUUCAUUUUAGUUUGGUUUUUGUCUCACUAUUUUUAACUAAAAUUGUGAUUGACAGAGUCCUUGCUGUGGCUCGUUAGUUUGCUUUGAUGUAUUUUGCAGCAGUUACUUGAGGAAUGAUAAGCAACCAGAAAGUCAAGCCGCCAGGGUAAAUUCAUGGUCUGAUGUAAAUUUUUAUUUAUCUCAGGAGUGGUAAAUAAGCUGCCCAAGAAAGUGAGUAGGUCUGUGGUUCAUAACAACAGAAAUACUUGGAAUUGUCUGUCUUUCGGUAAAGCUUUGUUUUGGCCAAUGAUGGUAACUGUGAGGGCAUAUUUGUCUACUAGCUUUCUGGAUAUAUGUUGUCUUACCUAUUUUACUUUUAAAUCUUAAUCGUUUGCUUGCUUGAUAAGAGGUGGGAUCUAUCCAAAAUGCUGUUCAGUGUUGUGUACAUCUUGAUUUUGUUUUAUUACUUUAAGGAAACAUUUCUAAUUAGAUGAAUUUGAUUACAACUUCCAAAUAUAUUAAUGUUUUAUGUUAAUGAAAAUUUUUAUGAACAGGAGAGCAUCUCCUACUGUGGCCAAUAUAUCUUAUCUUGAAAUUGCUCAUGUA
rnacentral:lncRNA from 1 species